GGGGAAUAUUGCACAAUGGGCGCAAGCCUGAUGCAGCGACGCCGCGUGAGGGAUGACGGCCUUCGGGUUGUAAACCUCUUUCAGCAGGGAAGAAGCGCAAGUGACGGUACCUGCAGAAGAAGCACCGGCUAACUACGUGCCAGCAGCCGCGGUAAUACGUAGGGUGCGAGCGUUGUCCGGAAUUAUUGGGCGUAAAGAGCUUGUAGGUGGUUUGUCGCGUCUGCUGUGAAAAUCCGGGGCUCAACCCCGGACUUGCAGUGGGUACGGGCAGACUAGAGUGUGGUAGGGGAGACUGGAAUUCCUGGUGUAGCGGUGGAAUGCGCGGAUAUCAGGAGGAACACCGAUGGCGAAGGCGGUUCUCUGGGCAUGACCUGACGCUGAGGAGCGAAAGUGUGGGGAGCGAA
rnacentral:rRNA from 1 species